GAAGAAUUAUUUAGUAAGUGAGUUGUUGUGUUAUUGUGCUACCUGGGGAAAUCCUUGAUCCUUCCUCUUCUGUCACGACAGAGUUUUCACGUUGAGCCCUCAACACUUUCACUUGAGGCAAUGCCUACUCUCGCAAUAUAAGGAAAAGGACAGGGCGAAGGAUGGAUGCCGGUCUCUCCGCAACAACUGCUGCUGCUGCUGAUGUCUCAAGUUUGAACAUGUUUGAUAUUAAUGGUGAUCCAUCCAUCCAUCCAUGAGACCUUUCGUCUGUACUGGAGAAAGAUAUAAAACCAAGCACAUCAGAAGACUCGUACCACCAGCACUCAAGUUUUUAAGAGAAAAAGUCGAGAGGUUCAUGUUCGAGCGAACUUUGUGUUAAAUUUAGGGCAGAUUAUCCAACGACCAGCCACUUAUUUUAUUGUGGAGAAGGGAUCAUAGACGGCGAAAUUUUGGCGACUUCUUGUAUACACAUACUGCUGUCAUUGGAUGGGAUGUACGGACUAAAGCAUUUCUUUAUUGGAGUACAAGAAGCCAGCCAAAGAGCGACCAACCUGCAAUAAUGUAGCUUCUGCCCUCUUUAUGAGGGUCUUCCAUGCAACCAUGUUUUGCUUUUUGCAUCGUUACCCCUGAUGUUGUCAGAACCAGAUCGUGUCUGUUUGUUUUAAGCAUGGCAGGAGAGGAUUCCUUGUUUUCCAUUGUCCGGAAGCCUAUGCAUAAUAAAAACAAAAUGACAGACGUUCUUCUCCGUCCCACGCUGACUUUUUAUGCAACAUAAAACACUGAAGGAUAUUACGUUCAGGAGUUAAACCACCAUCAUCAUCAUGAAAGGGAAAUGAAGGUCGCCUAAAUCAGGGACUUAAUUUUCCGAGGUGGACUAUCUGUUUGUCACUAAAACUGCACACUCGAGUGAUUGCCACUGUGUCAGCAGUCCAUCGUGCUGACGGGACUUUCAUCGGCGUAUGAGCAGAUUCGGGACAAAACGUUGCCAAUGGGAUAUUUAUUGGACCUGCCAAGCUGACAGCGAAUGAUAAGGAUGGAAUAACUCACAAGAGGAAUUAGACAGUGUCACGAGGGGACUCUAUCAACUGGCAGCAGUUGGCAGCGCGAUAACGCCUACCACAAACUCGGAAUGGAUUAUUUGGAGGUGUGUUGGAUUGUUGGAUGCUCAGUAAUCCGUGAAGCAUACUGAGAACGCACGCAUCCAUCUUCAUCCCGGCCAAAGGCAGCUUUUGGAAUUUACAACAGUAAAUAUGUAUCCAGCAAGCCAUUGACAGUCGUUAUGCAUAGAUAUUCCUGAUAGUCGACGUGACGUGGGAUACGGAACCUGGCCCAAAAGUUGAACUGACAUUGAUUUAAUCAGCUUUGCUCUCCACCUUUCAUCGUCGCCACAACAUUUCAUAUAAGGACUAGGUAACCAAGAAGCAGGUCCACUUCCACAAUGAUACAUGUACUCCGUCCGUCCGAGUUUCAAGCACUUUGUCCAGCUUUCACUCUGCUCGGUAUCCCAUUGAGAACUCGCAAAACUCAACCCCGAUCUCGCUGCUGCUAUAAACUCCACCCGGACUGACACUAUUCGCUAUAAAUGUUGACAGCCAAACGUAUUUCUCGAUUGUUCAUCACCUCGGAAUAAUGAGAUGCAAGGAUAGUGUGUGUUGCCUUUAUUUGGUGUGUGGCAUUAAAUCAAGUCUCGUGAGGAUUCUGGAAAUUAUCACGAUUCGUGGGCCACAAACUAUAGUACACAGUAGCGUUACUUUUACUUGCAUUGUGUGUUUAUCUGCUGUGUAAUAAUGUAAAUUGCACAAAUUAUUAUAAAACUUAGCCAGACUCAAUGGGAUUCGAAUCCCAAAAUUCCGGAUUCGUGCACAAGACUCUUAUGGACUGGCCGGAUUAGGAAUGCCAAAAUGUCAGACUCGCAUUCCUCAAAAAUAUGGAUUCGGAUUCGUCGGAGCACUAAUUUAUGUAUUGUUUGUUGUUUUCUAAAAAUUACUUUUAUUAAUAAUACCAUAUUUUAGAUUAAAGUAGUUUUUAGUUGUAACACAAUAUGUAACAUGAGUAUCAAUAUAAAUAAAAAAUAUUACACAUA